rnacentral:rRNA from 1 species
CAGCAGCCACGGUAAUACGAAGGGGGCUAGCGUUGUUCGGAAUCACUGGGCGUAAAGCGCACGUAGGCGGACACUUAAGUCAGAGGUGAAAUCCCAAGGCUCAACCUUGGAACUGCCUUUGAUACUGGGUGUCUUGAGUUCGGGAGAGGUGAGUGGAACUGCGAGUGUAGAGGUGAAAUUCGUAGAUAUUCGCAAGAACACCAGUGGCGAAGGCGGCUCACUGGCCCGAUACUGACGCUGAGGUGCGAAAGCGUGGGGAGCAAACAGGAUUAGAUACCCCCGUAGUCCCUGUCUCUUAUAC